rnacentral:rRNA from 1 species
GGUUACUGCUAUCGGAGUUCGAUUAAGCCAUGCGAGUNUAAAGGUUUCUUNGGAAACCUUGGNNGGACUGCUCAGUAACACGUGGAUAACCUACCCUUGGGACUGGAAUAACCCCAGGAAACUGGGGAUAAUANNGNAUAGAUCAGGGAUGCUGGAAUGCACCUUGAUCCAAAGNUCCGGCGCCCGAGGAUGGGUCUGCGGCCUAUCAGGUAGUAGUGGGUGUAACGUACCUACCAGCCAACGACGGGUACGGGUUGUGAGAGCAAGAGCCCGGAGAUGGAUUCUGAGACACGAAUCCAGGCCCUACGGGGUGCAGCAGGCGCGAAACCUUUACAAUGUGCGAAAGCAUGAUAAGGGAACUCCGAGUGCCAGCAUCUAAUGUUGGCUGUCCUUGUGCCUAAAACGCACAAGAUAGCAAGGGCCGGGUAAGACCGGUGCCAGCCGCCGCGGUAACACCGGCGGCCCGAGUGGUAGCCGCUAUUAUUGGGUCUAAAGGGUCCGUAGCCGGUUCGAUAAGCCCUCUGGGAAAUCUGGUUGCUUAACAAUCAGACUGCCAAGGGAUACUGUCGAACUUGAGACCGGGAGAGGUAAGAGGUACUUCAGGGGUAGGAGUGAAAUCUUGUAAUCCCUGGGGGACCAUCUGUGGCGAAGGCGUCUUACCAGAACGGGUCUGACGGUGAGGGACGAAAGCUGGGGGCGCAAACCGGAUUAGAUACCCGGGUAGUCCCAGCCGUAAACGAUGCUCGCUAUGUGUCAGGUACGGUGUGACCGUAUCUGGUGCCGUAGGGAAGCCGUGAAGCGAGCCACCUGGGAAGUACGGCCGCAAGGCUGAAACUUAAAGGAAUUGGCGGG